rnacentral:misc_RNA from 1 species
UCUCCGUUGGUGAACCAGCGGAGGGAUCAUUACUGGAAUCGCAAGACUCCCAACCCCUGUGAACGUACCGAAACGUUGCCUCGGCGGGCCUCGCGCCCGCCGGCGGCCCCACCAAACUCUUGUUUUUAGUGUCUCUUCUGAGUUAAACAAACAAAUGAAUCAAAACUUUCAACAACGGAUCUCUUGGUUCUGGCAUCGAUGAAGAACGCAGC